CAUUGAAAUCCAGUGGCAAGGCAAAAGUCAGCAUGACUGGCCAGCAAUGGCCGGGGAUUCAAUGGACGACCUUGGUAGCUUUGAUGACUGUCCAAGCUCUAAGCACUCCACAGCUCGUGAUUCAGCCAGGCAAGCUAGAAAGCAAAGCUGCAAAGAGAGAAUGUUCCAGUUCACUGGAGUUGGGAAAUGGAAUGUUGUAUUGGAGAAGAAGCAAGAAGGCCAUUGUCACCAUGUGGAAGGAUAUAAGGGAGCCAGUUGCUUCCUAUUAAACCAGCAUGUGCCAUCAUGCUACCCACCUUUUCUGCCAGAGAUGAUGACCUCAAGAUGAAGACUGAGACGUGUAUUUGGAUCUGAGCACUAAAGAAGGUGGGUCUAUGUGGAGGAGACCAUUGUCAGCACAAUUUUGUGUUUGGAAACAGGGCAAUUGUCUCAGGAUCUGGUCUUUCAGUAAACAUCCUAAGGAUCAAAGGUUGUUUAAAUAGAAAAUAACUAUGAGAAUGAACUGAGAAGUGGAAACACAGAAGACAAUCUAAAUAUACAUAUCUGUUUGCCAGAUGAUGCCUUCUAUGGUGUGGGGAGGGGAGGAAGGGACUGAGAUACUUGGAAAUAAAUUCGACUAACCACAAAAAAAACAGCUUCUGGGAGCAAGGAACACAAAGAACACCCUUGAAUCAACUUUUUUUAGAUGAGCAAUUCUCAAAGUAUGGUCCAAGGAUCUCUGGAGGUACCUGAGAUCUUUUUGGUGUGGGGCUGGAGGAAGGGGAAAUGUCCAUGAGGUCAAAACUAUAUUCAUAAUAAUACUAAUAUGUUUUACUUUCUAACAUGGUAUCUGUAGUUAAAACUCACAUAAACAAAAGGUCUUUGAGGAUCUUCAAUCAUUUUUAAGAGCAUAGACCACAAAGUUUAAGAACUAUCAUUUUAGACAAUUCAAUUAAAGCAGGAGGAAAACCUCAGACAUUGGAAACAAAGAAGGGGUAGGAGAGAUCUGGGACACUACAAGAAGGAAAAAAGUUUCCCUAUUUUUUUUUGUUACCAUUUUCUAAAUAUAUAACAAUGUACUAUAUGGCAUCACAAUAAUAUAAUUUGUUAUAAACAUGUUUAUCCAAGAGAAACAAAUUCUCACAUUAGCUAUGUCCAAAAAUCUAUAUCUCAUUCCCCUACCCCUUCCCAAGAAGGUAGGUAAUAUGACGCAAGUCGUACAUACAUAUUUCUGUUUGCCUUGUUAUGAAAUAAGACACAUGUUGCUUACACUAGAAAAGAAGUCAUGGAGGAAAUUAAGUGAAGAAUAGUAUGUUUCAAUCUGCAUUCGGACUCCAUCUGUUCCUUCUAUGAUGGUGGAUUUCCUUUUUCGUCAUGAGUCCCUUGGAGUUAUCCUGGAUCCUUGCCUUGUUGAAAAUGGUUAAAUAAUGUACAGCUUGAUCAUCAUACAUGAUUGUUUUUAUUGUAUAUAAUAUUCUUCUGGUUCCUUAUAAUGAGGAUAUAAGACCAGGAUAAGAGAGAAAGCUCACCUGGAAUCCAACUAGUGUCAGGGUUGGAAAGAGAGAACAGACAUAAAAAUAGCAAACUAUUUAAACUUAUUAUUCUUGAAAACCAGGUCCUAGACUCAGUUUUUCCCACCUACUGAAGGAGUAAAAGUACUGUCAGAGUCCUCUAAAUUUUGGCAGCAGAUAAAGCCUCAGUCACCCUACCCUAGUUAUGCCUCUGGCAGCAGGUAAAUCUCUUUGAAGUUAGUUAAGCAGAUUCUUGGAUUACUUGAAGCCUCACCUGUUUGGUAUGCUUAGCACAGUGCCUGGCACAUAAUAAGUGCUAAAUAAAUGUUUACUUAUUGAUUGAUUCAUUGAUAGAUUAUGACCUGCUGGAGCUCACAUCCCACUAUCAUAACUUUUGAUAAUCCAGGAUGGAACAUUUGAGUGGGACGUUAGUUUAGAUGAGAUAUCAAAACAAAAAUUAUACUAACAUUUUCCAGGGUAAUAUUUUGGAGAGGUGCAAAAUA